CUGCCGCCGCCACAAAGCGGUACUAAAUCUGGUUCAUCUCUGCCGCCAUCACCAAGCGAGAGUAAACAUGUUCUCUCAUCACAGUCACCUCCACCGCCACCGCCACCUCCACCUCGGGCUAGCAGUGUAGGUCUUUCACAGCCUCCGCCACCUCCACCUCCACCGCCACCACCACCACCUCGGAUUAGCAGUGUAGGUCCUACACAGCCUCCACCACCACCGCCGCCGCCGCCACCACCUCCUCGAAUUGGCAGUGUGUCUCCUUCACAGACUCCGCCCCCACCCCCACCCCCACC
rnacentral:lncRNA from 1 species